CGAAGUAGCUUUGUGAGAAAAAUAUGCUCGAAGCGAUGUUGAGAGAAAAAUAUGCCCAAGAACGACUCGAACGGGUUGAUAUAAUUUGGAUCGUGUCUGGGCCAAUUAAAGACUUUUGCGCUCAAAUGAACCUCAAAUCUAAUUACAUUUCCCUCCAUGCUCUCUCGCAAAUGUGCAAAAUGACUCUCGAUGUGCCCGGGUGCCCGAAAAAGUUUUGAUAUUUUUGGUUACAAGUUUGACUACAUCACAUAAAAUCCAAUAAAGCUACCGCUCGUUUGGCAGCCUUGCUGAGCCGAUUUUAUUUCUCUCUCAUGUUUCGUUACUUUACCAGGAAACAAGAGCAGAACAAAAUGGUGCCACCAUAGAAAUCGACUUACCUUAACAAAAAUAACAUUCACUUCAUUUUUAUCGCGACAACAUAUAUGUUUUUAUGAACUAAUCGCAUCUAAAUUAAAUUAUCUAGACAACGUGUAAUUUAUAUGCAAUAUUUCUCGAAAACAGAAAAUUAUUGCAUUUGAUGUUCAGUGCUUCUAAAUUUCAUAAGAUGUAUACAUAAAUAAAUCAUUGAUGCAUGAUUCGUGUCGAUAUCCUUUACCUAUAGUAAGUGUUACGCAAUCUGCGAACGCACCUCCGCUACCAACGAACCGCAUACGGGACGCACGACCACUAUCACAAAGCGGGUUGGUAGAGAAACGUCAAAAGGAAAAAAAAAAAAAGGAAGAGAAAGAAUCAGUGAAUAGCUUAUUUCUAAAUUACUUCUGAAAAUUUCUAAAUUGUGAAUUUGCUUAGUGCCUAGUUUAAAAUUAUAUUAGUAAGAGGUAAAAAUUAAUUGCUUAGUGCCUAGUUUAAAAUUGUAUUAUUAAGAGGUCGGAGCAUCACAGUUGGUGGUAUUAGCAACUAGUUAUUGCAGUUAUUAGUAAUUUAACUACCGUACGAUACCGCUUACCGGACAGAACGAAAAUCACAAGUAGACAGUAAACG